rnacentral:rRNA from 1 species
CAUGCAAGUCGCACGGAUCUUUCGGGAUUAGUGGCGGACGGGUGAGUAACGCGUAGGAAUCUAUCCAUGGGUGGGGGAUAACACUGGGAAACUGGUGCUAAUACCGCAUGAUACCUGAGGGUCAAAGGCGCAAGUCGCCUGUGGAGGAGCCUGCGUUCGAUUAGCUAGUUGGUGGGGUAAAGGCCUACCAAGGCGAUGAUCGAUAGCUGGUUUGAGAGGAUGAUCAGCCACACUGGGACUGAGACACGGCCCAGACUCCUACGGGAGGCAGCAGUGGGGAAUAUUGGACAAUGGGGGCAACCCUGAUCCAGCAAUGCCGCGUGUGUGAAGAAGGUCUUCGGAUUGUAAAGCACUUUCGACGGGGACGAUGAUGACGGUACCCGUAGAAGAAGCUCCGGCUAACUUC